rnacentral:rRNA from 1 species
GUGGGGAAUAUUGGACAAUGGGCGAAAGCCUGAUCCAGCCAUGCCGCGUGUGUGAAGAAGGUCUUCGGAUUGUAAAGCACUUUAAGUUGGGAGGAAGGGCAGUAAGUUAAUACCUUGCUGUUUUGACGUUACCGACAGAAUAAGCACCGGCUAACUUCGUGCCAGCAGCCGCGGUAAUACGAAGGGUGCAAGCGUUAAUCGGAAUUACUGGGCGUAAAGCGCGCGUAGGUGGAUUUGUAAGUUGGAGGUGAAAUCCCCGGGCUCAACCUGGGAACUGCCUCCAAAACUGCAUGACUAGAGUACGGUAGAGGGUAGUGGAAUUUCCUGUGUAGCGGUGAAAUGCGUAGAUAUAGGAAGGAACACCAGUGGCGAAGGCGACUACCUGGACUGAUACUGACACUGAGGUGCGAAAGCGUGGGGAGCAAACAGGAUUAGAAACCCGGGUAGUCC